rnacentral:rRNA from 1 species
GAGAUCGGGAUAACACCUGGAAACAGAUGCUAAUACCGGAUAACAACAGAUGAUUGCCUAUCAACUGUUUAAAAGAUGGUCCUGCUAUCACUCUUGGAUGGACCUGCGGUGCAUUAGCUAGUUGGUAGGGUAACGGCCUACCAAGGCGAUGAUGCAUAGCCGAGUUGAGAGACUGAUCGGCCACAUUGGGACUGAGACACGGCCCAAACUCCUACGGGAGGCAGCAGCC